AACAUCUCCCCUGUUGCAAUAUCCCACACAUCAUCCAAGACGAUGAGGUACCUUUUAUCGAGUAGUGCUACUCGUAGCUUUCCAGCAAGGUCAUCCUCACUUUCUUUUGUCUCCGAGGCAGUAACUUGCUGAAGAAUCUCCCGCAACACCUUUGACUUGUUAAAGUUUUGGGAAACAGUGCACUUAGCACGAAUCUUGAAAUGACUAGCAACUAAUGUAUUGUUAUACACUUUAUUGGCAAGAGUAGUUUUACCGACUCCUGGCAUUCCAACAAUGGAAAUGACAUCAAGCUCGGAUUCAUGUUCAUCAAGGAGCUGGCCAAUGAUCCGGGCUUCAUCUUCCUCAUGACCUACUGUUACCUCAACAAAUGAUGAUGAGGUUAACUUAAUUGGCUCAUUGGAAGACUUUGCAUCAAGGGGGCCAUCCCCAUUCUUAUCCUCCAGCUGUAAACCGGUGACUUGUGCCACAAUAAGCUUGAUCUUAUCAGUGACAUUCGGAAGUGAGAAGAUUAAAUGCGAGAGAGCUUUAUCUCUGACAAGAAUGGAAUUAAUGACAUGUUCUGCCUCAUAUGCCACAUCCAAAGCACGCAUCCAACAAUCUUUAACAACUCCACUAGUGCUCUCAUCCAAUGUUUGCCUGAAAGAUGCUGUUAGGAAUUCAAGGCUUUGUUUCACCAUCUCAAUUUCUUUUUUUAUCAGAGAAACUGAAUAAGAAUUGGAAGUGAGUAAAUCAUUUAAAUGUCUGAGUAGAAGAUUCAUGAAGAGGAAACCAUCAUCCAUAGGAAAGCAAAGUUGGGAUGACUCUGGCGCUUUCAAAAUAAUCUGUUUGAUAUCUCCCUUCAUUCGUUCGAUUUCUUGCAACAAGUAUGGAGCUGAAAAGUCUGCUUCAUUCAUAUUAGAGCUCUCCUCCAUGAGAAUAGACAUCUUCCUUGUAAGUAGUCCGACAUGUGCCAACAUAGAGUUCAAUUUGCCACGAUGGAUAAAGCGCUUUGGUAUAUCAGUGAGAAAGAUCAAUAGGAACUCCAUCAUGACAUUAAUGCUUUGAGUUGCAGAGUAACUGACGGCUACCAUGCGUCCUUGGAGAUGAAUGAGAUAAUUCUGAAGAAUCCUUGGAGAUGCUUUUAGGAUUUGCUUAACCAAUCCUUCUAGUUCUUUUGACCUUGAUUCUUUGAUGAGGUUAGAAGUAGAAAUGUAUAGAACCUCCAGCUCGAGAGGGAUUAUGUCGAUGAGUAGAGAAGUGAUCUUGGAAGAGCAUUCAAAGACUAAAUACUCAUAACCAUCAUCAGUAUAUUCUUUAUACUCUCCAGUCCAAAGAUCAAAACAGAAUUGUGUUACUCUAUCAACUGUCAUUUGGUACCGAGCAUAGAGAAAUUCUGUUGUUGUAAUUUUGUUGCAUUCCAAUUCAUAGAAAUCUCUGAGAUGUGUACAUACUUGCCGCAGAAUCUUGUAUUCACUCAUGAGGGGUAGAAGCAAAUCAGAACAAUACUUUGGUAGAUCAUGGAGGUUUCUGAUGAGGUAUUCAAACAAUUUUAUCUCUGUAGUUGUGGCUACAUAAUCAUUCUUCAAACUCAAAUAAUUUCUUAUCUCUUCAAGCAGCAGAGGGGCAAGACAUUCCAUGUUGUAUCUCUCUAGGAUUAUUUUAUCUACGUACUCCAUAGAUUGAUCGAAUUUGCUUAUAUUCAUUGACAUCCUCUCAUAAAAGUCAUCCAAAUUCAUCGAAUUUCCAAACAGGACAAAUGUUCUUAGGAAUCUCAGUUCCAUUCUUAGAUUUUCAAAGGCAUCCAAUUUUGAAGCAAUGAAUUCAUUCUUUAUUUGCUUCAAGCGAUUCAAGAAAUCAUCAAUAAGAUUCGUGAUUCUUGUUUUUUGUUCCUCAAAUAAUAGCUGCUAAAUCAAAAACAUAUUCAUCAGCAAAAUUCAGUUGAAAAUUUUGGCUCUUAACACUUGAAACUACAGUAUUGGUAGACAAUAGACAUACCAAUGAUUUUUCUCCUUUUUCCAUCCAACCAGCCUUCAAUAUCUAAAAGAUUUGAUUUUUCAAACUAAUCACAUGCACAUUUAAUAAGGAUAAAAGAAUUAGAAACACAAGUAAAAGUAACAGCAAGAAGAAAGAGUUCAAAGAAUGUCAGCUGUUAUAAAUUCUAAAUUUGGCUUAAAUAUGUUAUCGAACUUUGUAGAAAAAGAAAAGAUUCAUUUAUGUCAUCAGUUAAAACUUUGGUUCAUCUAUGUCAUUAUCAUUUGAGAAAAAACACAUUCAUGCUAUUAUUUUUUACCCAAUAAGAUCCCAAACAACUUUUAAUACUUUUCAAUUGGAAUUUUAGAUCAAAUGGAUUCUUUUUGUUUCUUCUACCUUAAAAAACACAUGUAAAACUCUCAAAUUUCCAACUUCUUCCAUUCUUCACGAAUUCACCUCAAAUUUCCGCCACUAAUUAAUUUUUCUUUUAAUAAGCAAAAAUUCUAAAAUAUAUAAUCUGUAAAUCAAUCACAUUUAAGAAAGAGUAUAUUUACUAAAAACAAGAGUGAAUACUACAAAUUAUGACAAUCAUCUAACAUUUUAUAAUUAUCUAAGUCAAAAAUACAAAUUCGUUUUCUAGUUCUUGUAAUGUAUGUUUCAUUCAAAUCAAGUGAAUCACAAAAAUACAUGUAAAAUGAAAACUAGAAAAACAUUAUAUUAUACCUUUUUCUUUACUCUCAAAUGGUAGUUUGCCUUGUUGCAGAUUUACAAGAAGCAAACGUUGAAGUUAGAUCUGCAAAUGUUGAACUGUCAAUUAGUUUAUCAAAGUCUAGAGAUCUGAAAUAGAUUAGUUUAAGUUUACUACUCACUCCUUCUAUUUUUAAUUGUUAGGUUGCGUUUUUCGAAAGUUAAUUUGAUUAAUUUUCAAAGUUAAAUUCAAUUAUAUUAAUUCGAUAUUUUAAGUAUUCUGACAUGUGCCAACAUAUCGUUCAAUUUUUCACGAUGGAUCAAUAGGAACUCCAUCAUGACAGUAAUGCUUUGAGUUGGAGCGUAUUUGACAGCUACCAUGCUUCGUUGGAGAUGAAUGAAAUAAUUUUGAAGAAUCCUUGGAGAUGCUUUUAGGAUUUGCUUCACAAACCUCUCUAGUUCCGUUGACCUUGAUUCUUUCAUGAGUUUCAAAGUAGAAAUGUAUAGAACCUCCAGUUCAAGAGGAAUUAUGUCAAUGAGUAGAGAAGUGAUCUUGGAAGAGCAUUGUGAGACGUUAUAGUAAUCAUAAUUUUGCUAGAGUUCAAUAAGUUUUGGAGUUCUUCUAAUUAUUUGUCUUAGUGCAAUAAAACUGUAACUCCGUAGGUAUUGUAUUUCUCAUUUCAACCUUUAAGUUUAGCACUAUGUUGUUGAACUAAGCUUUUUCCUACACGAUUAAACUGACCUUUGAGUUAUUACUGCGAUAACAACCAGUUGUAAUUAAGGUUCAACAUGAGCUUGAGCUUGGUGUUUUAAGGUUGUAGGCAGGUAGAUCUUUUCCCAUAUGUGAACAAAUGAUGUACUUUUAUUUGAUGCACUGGUACUGAUCAGAGAAUGUAGAAUUCCUACUCGUUCAUGUGGUAUCGAUUUUACUGUUCUUGGAAUUUCAAAGCUGUUUCCAUAGAGGUAUACUGAACUUGUCCUGUACGAUAUUUCUCAAACGACGUCCCUUGGUUAUAAUCUCUUUCUCCGUAAUUGUAUUAACCAUUGGAGUUACUUGUACCUACAGAGCAGAAAGCAAAUCAAAACCGAUACUUUGAUGUUAUUCAUUUUGGUUUCUGUGCGACUUGGUUUACAAUUCGAGGGAAAUGAUUAAUGUAUAGCUAAAUAAAUUGAUAUUCAUCAUUGGUAAAUUGAUCUUGAAAGUACCGUCUCAGCAUGAAUGAUUAUUUCUCUUGUUCGAAAAAUCAUGUACUUUGUUGUACAUAUGCAGGUGAAUCAACUAACGACGACCAUACAUUGAUUUAACACUACCUGUUAUUUUACCAAAGUCUAAAUCCGUUCCCGACUUAUCUCCAAGCAACAUGAAGCCUCCAAAUUUCAAUCUUGAAUCAGAAGACGAGUCCGAGGUCAGCAACUGCCAAGUGGGUUCAAACAUAUCCGUCCAAGAAAUUCGCCCUGGUCCUUCCCUUAAUCUUCAGCAGGAAUCAGUUCCUGUUACCCUUGACUUGACUCUUGGCUUCAGCAGCAGUGACUCCGAGUUGAAAGCCAAUGCUGAGGCGAGUGACGAAGAAGUACCCCAUCCUCCAACGGCAGCACUAUCCUGAGUUUUCUCGUGCAAUUUCUGCAGGCGCAAGUUUUACAGCUCCCAGGCAUUGGGCGGACACCAGAACGCACAUAAGAGGGAGAGGACUUUAGCUAAGAGAGCAAUGCGGAUGGGAAUGUUAUCGGACAGGUACGCUAGCUUAGCAUCAUUGCCCCUUCACGGGGCUGCAUUUCGAUCUCUUGGCGUUGAAGCUCAUGGUUCCACACACCAACGCAUCUCGCACCAAGAAACACCUAUUCAUGCAGUUAGAAGCGGGGCUAGAUUUGAACAAGGCUAUUUCGGGAUGCCAGUAUUCGUGGAGGAUGAUGAAGUGGAAGUGUUCUGGCCCGGUAGCUUCAGGCAAAUAGACGGAAUUGGUGGCAAUAUGGGGUAUAAUUCAGGGCAAAGUUCAAGCAUAAAUUUUGUAGCUGUAGCUCCUCAAACUAGGACAGAUCCAACAUUGCCUGAUCUUAAUUUGAAACUCUGAUUUUUUGGUAUUCUAUUCUACUUUUUGUAUCAGAAUUUUCACAAUUGUUGUAUUACAUAUUUACAUUAGUGCUCUAUUUGUACAGGAGAUGAAUAUUUGAGACUGUCUUGAGCUUUCAAUUUUGAAUCUUUUUCAUUCCCAAAUUUGUUUAGUUGACCAUCUUAUUGUACAAUUAUAGUAUGAUACUUUGUUACAUAUAAGUACAGAUUUGGGACAGUGCUGAUAUUUUUUAGUUUAUUUAAACCUUUAACCCUGUUUAUCAUUAUUCGUUAGAUUCUUUUCAGGAAGUCUCACAUUGGGAGUAAGACAUACAUAGGCGAUUUUAUAUCUGGUAAGGCUCGAACGCGAGACCUCUGAUUAAGGAUCAGAGAGUGCUGCCUCUCCACCACAGUGCUUGUUGGCACAGUAGUAAUCAUAUUAACUGUCCAUAUCAAUAGUGAUAGUUAGUUGCCUUUUGGCAUUGAAACCUUCCAAUUAAAAAAAACAAAACUAGUAUCUUAUAUGAGAGAUUACAGACGAAAUAAGAUUCAUAACUAACAAAAAAACAGGAAAGAAAACACACGACAAAUUAGAUCAAAAUAUGUCCAGAACCAGCAAUGAGAAAAACCAGUAACAAGUUUGUUUAUUGGAAGCAGUAAUCAGAUGGAGGCGUUGCGUUGUUUCGUUCUUCAUUGUUGUGAUUUGUCCAACUUCAUCAAUCACUGCGAUUCAUAACCACGAGAAUCAGUGCAAUCACUCCACCAACUAUGUAUAAGUAUUAUAUUUCAACAUGCUAGCACAAAUCAAACAUUCAGGAUCUAAGUAUUCUCCACCUGCAAUACAAAACAAAUCCAUUGAAUUUUCUCAUAAUGUUACAACUAGUCAAAUCAGUGGAUGAUUUGUUUAUUGCCUCUAAACAAAUGUCAAUAAAAGUUUGUUUUUGUGGUAGUGUGUGCAGGAAGAAGAAUGAACUCUACUACUAACAACUUCAACGAACACACUACACAAAUGCAAAUUAUAUAAAUUAAACGAACUUAGUUACCUCAUCUUCAUCCUCUGUUUUUUCUCGUUGGUUGCCAAUCAAAUAUGAUGUGUGGACAUCAAGUCUGUCCUCUCCUGUGAAAUCUGCUACAUUUUUCUUAAUCUCAAUGGCUGAAUCUCCAAGCUCACGCCUAACGCCUCUUAAAUCAAUGGACUUUAAAGUGUCUAUAUCUAUAAAUGCACAAGGGAUCUCCCAAAGUGUGAUACAAAGUUUUAGUAUAAAUUUCUCAAGCUUGGGAAAAGUUUCCCUCUCAACUUGCCAUUCUGAUAAUUGGACAUCUCGCAAAAUCAAAGUCUUAAGACUUAGAUAGAUGUCCUCACUUGCGUCCCAUUUCUUAUCCACGAAUUUACAGCUGGAAAACUCCAUAAUCUCAAGCUCAGGCAACGCUGCGAUUACUGACAACAAAUCAGGUCUCAGGAGAAAACCAGUCAACCGUAACUCUUUCAAGCUUGUAGGGAAGUGAUAUCCAUUGGGUUGUCGGAUUAACGAGGGAUAUCCAUUGCACUCGUAUCUUGCUUUGAGUGAUUCGAGUUUAUUAAGUACAUCAAGCUUGGGAAACCAAUAGUCGUGUGUAGGAGGAUACUGCGAUUCCAUGAUGAUGCAAUCAAGGUGCUGAAGAAUUGGGAACUUCUCCAGAGCAUCAUCACUCAUGCCUUCAGAAUAUGAGAUAACAACUCCCGAUAGAGUUGUCAAGUUUGAAGAAUUCCCAGCUUCCAAUAUUCUACUUUGGACAUCCUCUUUCUUUUCAAAGAAAGAACUCAUGUCAAUUUUCACAUGUUUCAGCUUUGACAGUUGCAAUAUUCUAGGCAGUAAUACCAUGGUGGAAUAAUGUGUAUCGAUCAACAGCGUUUCCAGAUUCUGGAGGUUCAACCACGACACUGGAAUAGCUUUUCCCAAAGCAUGAAUGCUUAAGAACCUCAAAUGAAAUAAGGACCCUAUUUCUUCAAUUAAAGAACCUUUCAGAACAAUGAAAUCCAGUUGCAACACUCUAACAAGUCCAAAGGGUCUUGUGUGACAGAUAUAUCUGAAGUCAUCAAGUGGACCACUCACUUUUAAAGAUAUGAGAUGCUUACUAACAGCUAAGCACUUAUUAGAAUUGAAUAAAACACAUUUUUUGUGGAGUUGGUAGUUGUCAGUAUGAAUGGUUAGACGAUGGUGUAGGAAAUCUGAAGCAUGAAAUGUAUCACCUGAAUUGAUUAACUUGAGAAGCUUCUCCUUUUUGGCUUUUUCAGAACAAAAAUCGUGCACAACAUCAUGCACAUAGCAAACCUUGAUCAUUAAAGGCGUCCACCAAAUGCUCUCGGAGGGGAUAUGAUCCACCAUUAUCAGGCUACUGGAAAUUAGAGCAUCCAAGUAACUUUGAGUUACUUCCUCUAAACUAUCAUGAUCCACAAACCCUUCGGCCAUCCACAACUGCAUCAAUGUAGAGACUGGAGUUCGUUGGCUCUUUUGAGUUGUCGCAAAGUAAAGCAGCAACGGCUUCAGGUGGCAUGGUAAAUGGUCAUAACUUAAUUGCAUAACCAAAUUGAUGUUUGUAGAAAUAAAGGAAUCCAGAUUAUGCAGUAUCUUAAGCCAAAAAUCCUUUUCCUUUUUCUUCCCUCUAACAAUUACUCCAGCAAUUAAAACAAUAGCCAAGGGAAGACCCUUACAUUUCUCAACUAUUUGGUGUCCAACUUUUGACAGUUCAGCAGGGCAGCUUCCUUUAUCUCCAAAUACCUUUUUUACGAAUAAAUCCCAACUUUUUUCAGGUGUUAAGAGUUGAAGGCGGAGAGGAUCACUAUGGCAUUUGACUUGCAAACCUACCUUACUACUUCGGCUGGUUAAGAUAAUUCUAUUUCCUCUCUUAACCUUUGGAAAACAUGCUAUUAACAUCUCCCCUGUUUCAAUAUCCCACACAUCAUCCAAGACGAUGAGGUACCUUUUAUCGAGUAGUGCCCUUCGUAGCUUUUCAGCCAGGUCAUCUUCACUUUCUUUUCCUCCCGAGCCAGUAACUUGCUUAAGAAUCUCCCGCAACACCUUUGACUUGUUAUACUAUUGGGAAACAGUGCACCAAGCACGGACAUGGAAAUGACUAGCAACUAAUGUAUUUUUAUACACUUUGUUGGCCAGAGUAGUUUUACCGAGUCCUGGCAUUCCGACAAUGGAAAUGACAUCAAGCUCAGAUUCAUGUUCAUCAAGGAGCUGGUCAAUGAUCCAGGCUUCUUCUUUCUCAUGACCUACUGUUACCUCAACAAAAGGUGAUGAAGUUGACUGAGUUGGCUGGGAGGAAGACUUUGCAUCAAGGGGGCCAUCCCCAUUCUUAUCCUCCAGCUGUAACCUGGUGACCUGUUCCACGAUAAGUUUGAUCUUAUCAGUGACACUCGGAAGUGAGAAGAGGAGAUGCGAGAGAGCUUUAUCUCUGACAAGAAUGGAAUUAAUGACAUGUUCUGCCUCAUGCCACAUCCAAAGCACGCACCCAACAAUCUUUAACUACUCCACUAGUGCCAUUCAAUGUUUGCCUGACAUUCCAAAAAGAUGAUUUUAGGAAUUCAAGGCUUUCUUUCACCAUCCCAAUUUCUUUUUUUAUCAGAGCAACUGAAUAAGCAUUGGAAGUGAGUAAAUCAUUUAAAUGUCUGAGUAGAAGAUUCAUGAAGAGGAAACCAUCAUCCAUAGGAAACCGAAGUUGAGAUGACUCAGGAGCUUUUAAAAAAAUGUGUCUGAUAUCUCCCUUCAUUUGUUCAAUUUCUUGCAAAAAGUCCAGAGCUGAAAAGUCCGGUUCAUUGAUAUUAUCCUCAGAGAUCUCCUUCAACAGCUUGCGCACCAGAAAAAAUAUUUUUCUGGUAAGCAUUCCAGCAUGUGCCAACAUAUUGUUCAAUUUUUCACGAUGGAUAAACCGCUUUGGCAUAUCAGUGAGAAAGAUCAAUAGGAACUCCAUCAUGACACUAAUGCUUCGAGUUGGAGCAUAAUUGACUGCUACUACACCGGCCAUGCGUCCUUGGAGAUGAAUGAGAUAAUUUUGAAGAAUCCUUGGAGAUGUUUUUAGGAUUUGCUUAACAAAUCCUUCUAGUUCUUUUGACCUUGAUUCUUUGAUGAGCUUAGAAGUAGAAAUGUAUAGAACCUCCAACUCAAGAGGGAUU
rnacentral:lncRNA from 1 species